AUCAUGAGCCAUAUCACCCUGCAGCCCAAGACUGAUCGCCACACUGAAGCUAAGCAGGGUUGAGCUGGUCAAUACCUGGAUGGGAGACCUCCUGGGAAAACUAGGUUGCUGCUGGAA
rnacentral:rRNA from 1 species